rnacentral:rRNA from 1 species
CCUACGGGCGGCAGCAGUGGGGGAUAUUGCACAAUGGGGGGAACCCUGAUGCAGCGACGCCGCGUGGGUGAAGGAGUGCUUCGGCAUGUAAAGCCCUAUCGGCAGGGAAGAAGCAAGACGGUACCUGACUAAGAAGCCCCGGCUAACUACGUACCAGCAGCCGCGGUCAUACGUAGGGGGCGAGCGUUUUCCGGAUUCACGGGGGUUAACGGGAGCGUAGACGGCCAUGCAAGCCAGGGGUGGAAGCCCGGGGCCCAACCCCGGGACUGCCCUUGGAACUGCAUGGCUGGAGUACUGGAGAGGCAGACGGAAUUCCUAGUGUAGCGGUGAAAUGCGUAGAUAUUAGGAGGAACACCAGUGGCGAAGGCGGUCUGCUGGACAGCAACUGACGCUGAGGCGCGAAAGCGUGGGGAGCAAACAGGAUUAGAUACCCGGGUAGUC